rnacentral:lncRNA from 1 species
UGAAGGGACCAGCUCCCCAUUUCGGCAGCCACGACAGUAACACGUGCUUGCCAUAACCUUGCCUGGGUCACUUAGAGGUCAGAUGCCUGCCUUGUGGCAAGGAACCAAUCAGAAGUUAGCUGGUGGUGCUAUGCUUUAUGGCUCUGGGUGUGCUUUACAGACAAGCGCACAGCAAUGAUGCACAGAGCAUAAUUACCACCCUGGGAGAGCCUAUGGGCCAUAACAACCAGUUGACCAAUCAACACAGGGCAAACCCUCCAAGCCUGGAGGCACACCAAUCCUGAGCCUGUGCAUACCCCUAGACUUUCCCCUUAGAAUGCUGCCCUAUAAAGAUCUGUACACAGCAGCUUCAAACUGUCUUUGCUAGCCAUCCGCCAUGGCGGGUGGGUGAAAGACCCAAGCAAACAUGGGGUUAGCUCGUUUAAAAAACAAAACAAAACAAUAAAGCCUCAUGCAGUUUGCAGCAAGCUCUCGAAUCCACCUGGUGAUUGGGGUGACCUCAGUUGUUGCCUGGGACCCUGGAUACCUGAGUUUUCCGGGGGGUCUUACAUUUCGGGGCUCGUCCUGGAUUUGCAACCACCCCUCACCUGAGUGGAGUCGAUCUUGGGGGUAAGCGGGUACCCUGUAUUGUCUGUGUCUUUGUGUUUUUGUGCCGGCUGAAAUCUGGUUCUGUGCUUUGCAGUCCCUCGAGUCUCGGGAAGAGACAAGAGCUCUGGUCUCUGGAGGAGACAGAGUGUGAUCAGCAGACAUGCUAGGAGAUCACCGACUGCCACCCUGGAAGACGUUCCAGGAAGUCUGUGGGAACCUCAGGGGCACUUGGGAGAUUGCCAUCUGGGAGCCGGUGAGGGUACGGUAGUUCUCCUGGAUUGGGGAAGUUAUACGCCCUCCUGGCUGUCUGUAUUUCUGGAGUGGUUUUGUCUGUCUAGGUGGAGACAGACAUCUGAUAGUUUUUGUCUGUGUGUCUUGGGUUUGUUUUUGUCUUAUUUGUGACUUUGAUGAUAGGACCGACCAUAACUAACCCCCCUCAGUCUGACUUUUGACCACUGGACGGACGUUAAGGACCAUAGUUAGUCAGUUAAAGUUACGACACCCCCUUUCGCUGAGUCACAUGGCACCACACUAGGUAACUUUAUUUUCCAGUCUUUGUUUCUGUAUGGUUUCUGUACAAGAAUUAUUUAGGGCAGAGGUUCAGAUGACAGCUUCUGCAGUCUGUAGGAGCGGGACCUGGUAGGAUCAAGUUGCUUGCUCCAUCUGUAAGGGGACCCAAGCAGGUCUCCCAAUCUGUAGGACAGGGACUUACUGGGAGCAAGUUGUCUGGUCCAUCUGUAAGAGGACCCAAGCAGGUCUCCCAAUCUGUAGGACAGGGACUUGCUGGGAGCAAGUCAUCUGAAAUUCCGAAUAGGACCCUGGUCUGUGUUACUGUACUGUCUGUCCACGUUUCACAUUUGUGUUGUGUGUUUGUUAAGCAUCUCUUUCUGUCCCUACUGCCCACACACGUGGUAUGCAUGGGUCAGGGGUCUUUUCUUGUUGCCCUGAGCACGUGGCUCGGGGCAGGAGUUCUGCCAUGUGUCACGGAUUAGAAUGUGUUGUGUUGGAGUCCCCUGAGACUGCUUCUCUGAACUUGAACUGCUGCUGUGGCCCUUACAGCUGAGCCUGGCCGACAUAGGUGAGUCUUUCCUAUCCCCACCUGCUGGUCUGUGAGGCAUGCAAAGUGGGGUUGUCUCUGCCCCAACUGCUGUCCUGCCAUGAGUCCUGGCUUGCCUCGGGAGUUUCCCUGCUCUGAGGGAACAUUGCUGCAAGGCUGCCAUCUGCCUAGCUGCCUGGCCUUCUUUGUGCUCCACGCACGUGGUAUGCAGGGGGACUGCAGGGAUCUUUUUCCCACUCCUGCUUUGGCCGAGGGUCUGGGAUUACUAGCAGCAACCUCCCAGAUCUCUUCCCUGAGCACAUGGAGCUCAGGCAGGUGAACCAUCUAUCCUGAUCUGGAUGUUCUAAAAAAAAAAAUCGUCCUUAAAGUUAUUAAAAAAAAAAAAAAAACCUUAAGAAGGACUUUGAUAAGAGUAUAUGUUGACCAAGAAAUGAGAGAAAAUGUAGGAGACUAAAGUAAUAGAGAGAGAAAGGAAGAAAGAAAUUUGUCUAAGAAUGUCUAUAGGAAGUUAUAGAGGGUUAAAGCAAGUCGUAGAAGGUCAGAGAAAAGUUGUCAAAGGUCAGAGAAAAGGUUGUUAUAAGUCAGAGAAAAGUGUAACUGUAAACUGUUAUGGUUUCUCAUGUCUACAAAUAGUAAAUUUUAAAAUUGGUAAUAUAAGUUAAAAUUUUAACCAUAUCAAGUUAAUUCAGUUUUAAAAGUUUUGUUUAUUUCUCAAGUAAAUUAUGUAUACUUGUUUUAAAAUGUUCUAUUGCCUGGCAUAACCUAAGUUUUGUUACAUGGCUAACUGGUAGCCAUUUUGCUGAAGUUGAAAAAAGAUACUUAAAUUGCCAUCUUGACUAAAGAUGAUUGCAUGGAAAUUAGAGGUACUAUCUUAGAAACAAGUUUUUCAAUUAAGAUUUAAAAUGUUAAAACUUCUAUAUAUUAUAGAAAGACUUUUAAGGGAAUUUAAAUUUCUUUUUAAAACCAGUUUUUUUUUUUAAAAAAAACAUUGACUUUCUAUUUCUUUAUUUAUUUAUUAUGUAUACAACAUUCUGCUUCCAUGUAUAUCUGCACACCAGAAGAGGGCACCAGAUCUCAUAAUGGAUGGCUGUGAGCCACCGUGUGGUUGCUGGGAAUUGAACUCAGGACCUCUGGAAGAGCAGUCAGUGCUCUUAACCUCUGAGCCAUCUCUCCAGCCCUUAAAACCAGUUUUUUAAAUGUUUGUUUUUAUUAAUGUUUGUACUUAAAGAGCUUCAAUUUAGAAUUAUUUUUAAGCAACGCCUGACAAUGUAAAGUACCUGUUUUAUAAAAGAUGCUAAUCUAUUAUAAGAUGUUACAGUUUAUGUUUUCAGAAGUUAAGUUUAGGGCAUUGGUGGCACACACCUUUAAGUUUAGGGCAUUGGUGGCACAUGCCUUUAAUCCCAGCACUCAGGAGGCAGAGGCAGAUGGAUCUUUGUGAGUUCAAGGCCAGCCUGGUCACAGAUCGAAUUCCAUGACAGGCUCCAAAGUCACAGAAAAACUCUGUCUCAGAAAGAAAUGAAGUUUAAGCAAACAGCUAAAAUAUGUACAUGUAGCUACUGUUUAAGGAAUAUAAGGUAGCUCUAUGCAGUUUUAAGUUCAGCUGUGCUAAGUUUCAAACAUUUUAGUAAGUUAAAACCAGUUACAGUCAGACUGAAAAUUAAUUACAGAAGUAAGACAUUACCUAGCCACCUGUGUGCUUAAUGUGUGCUUAAGGAAAGUAACUAAAAUAGACAAACAGACCUCUAAUGUUUCAGAGACCUGCAGAGUAUGUCAUUUAAAUUGUUAUUUUAAAAGUUUAUAAUAUCAGACAGACUGCCAGAUCCUGACAGUGACCCAAAGUCUCCAAAGAAGAUUAUGAGGCACCCCAGUUCCUGCACCUGGAUGAUGGUGACGCUCAUCAGUGAUUGAGAUGCUCAGAUGUGAUACUUGUUGCCUGUCACGACCUGGCCGAGACUGUGGACAAAGCUGCUGGACACUGGAAAAUUGAUUGUACCCCCUUUGCCUAGACAAAACAAGGUCAGUCUUUUCCAUGUCCCUCUUCCACAGAGAGGAAAAAAAAACCUCUUACCUUAUAGGCCUGGCAAAGAUUGCUGUUCUUUGAGACAUCUGCCUCCAGCGGUAAUGGAGAAACUUGGGUGUGGCUAACUGUAUAUGGUCUGGCUUCUAACUGGCUUCUGUUACUUUUUAGUAGAUUCAAAUAAAAUAUACCCUUCUCAGAUCUCUGAAAUAUUAAUGGUUGUCAGCUUGACAGUAUCAGGCAGUCAGAUCCACUAUAGACUAGUCAGUAUGUUAGCUGAUAAAGAAAUGACUAUCUACUGUUCAGGUACAAGUUCAAGGUUUUUAGGUUUAUUUUGGUUGUCAUCUAAAUAUAAACUUAAAGGGCUUUUCAUCAGGCCAAAGGCACCUCUGUCCAAUCCAUACCUGGCUCUCUGGACAGAAGAAAAAUGGACAUGCUUCUAGCCCAUAUCUGUCGUAUUGCUAGGACUCAAAGUUAUAAAUAUGUUCCUGCUGUUUGAACAGAUACCCAGAUAUCUGCUUUUUCUGCACUGUGGGCUUCAGUAAAUAAGUUUUAACUUCUGUUCCUAGUUUAAACAUGUCUUAAACAGGUUUCUGCUUCUGGCAGACAUCUGAGUAUCAGUUGCUGACUACAGGCUGUUCUAAGUAGACUUCGAGCCCUGGACUUGCUGUGGAUAUGAACCAGUUCAGCUGAUAAAGACAUCCCCUGUCUCUGCAACAGAAUCUGCCAAUCAGAAGCUCCUGAUGGAUUCCCCAUUGCCUAAAUUCCUUUUUUGCUUUUGACUAGCAUUUCAACCUUCUGGGGUCCCUAACUUCGUCCCAAAGUCAGCAGGAAGUAGCUUGGGAAAGAAUUCACCACCCAUUUUCCCUGGUUAAAAUGCUAAAUCAGAAGGGACUCCCUUGCAUGGGGAUGCCAAUAUCUCUCACUCCCUGAUGGGGGCGCUAGAGAGACAGCAAUUCCAUGAUUGGAAUUUCCAAAAAAGAAAAUGGGGGAAUGAAGGGACCAGCUCCCCAUUUCGGCAGCCACGACAGUAACACGUGCUUGCCAUAACCUUGCCUGGGUCACUUAGAGGUCAGAUGCCUGCCUUGUGGCAAGGAACCAAUCAGAAGUUAGCUGGUGGUGCUAUGCUUUAUGGCUCUGGAUGUGCUUUACAGACAAGCGCACAGCAAUGAUGCACAGAGCAUAACAACCACCCUGGGAGAGCCUAUGGGCCAUAACAACCAGUUGACCAAUCAACACAGGGCAAACCCUCCAAGCCUGGAGGCACACCAAUCCUGAGCCUGUGCAUACCCCUAGACUUUCCCCUUAGAAUGCUGCCCUAUAAAGAUCUGUACACAGCAGCUUCGAACUGUCUUUGCUAGCCAUCCGCCAUGGGUGGGUGAAAGACCCGAGCAAACAUGGGGUUAGCUCGUUUAAAAAACAAAACAAAACAAUAAAGCCUCAUGCAGUUUGCAGCAAGUUCUCGAAUCCACCUGGUGAUUGGGGUGACCUCGGUUGUUGCCUGGGACCCCGGAUACCUGAGUUUUCCGGGGGUCUUACAGAGUUAACUCCAUCCUCUCCCGUUUACCUUGCUCUUAUAGGCAGCAUCCCUUUUUCUCUGUGAGGUGGCAUGCUUCCAGUAGUUCAAACAUUGAACACACUGUAUGCUGACUGAAAGGCUAGAAGAGGGCAUCAUAUCGUUGGAACUGGAGUUACAGAUGGUUAUGGGGAGCCAGGAAAUCGAACCCAGGUCCUAUUCAAGAGAAGUUAGUGCUCUUAACCACUGAGUCAUUUCUUCAGCCCCAAGACUAAAACUUUUAACUGAAGACAGAAUCAAAUCAAUAAUGUGCUUUGCUGAGCACACAGGAGCCUGGGCUGGAAGAAAAAAAAAAAUCACAAACUUGGUGUUGAUCUUGUCUU